GUCCCUUCAAGGACAUCCGAUAAAAUUGGAAUAAUACAGAGAAGUUUAACAUGCCCCUGCGCAAAGAUGACACAUACAAAUGGAGAGAAGAAAUACUGGCCA